CUUCCCCGGGGGCCGCGGGUUCGAGUCCCGGCCCCGCCGCUUCCGCCUCCGGGGCCGGGCCGGGGUCGCGGCGCUGCCAUGUCCUGCCACUUCCAGAAGCUUUUUGGGACCGAUGGGGAGCUGGAGGACGAGGAUUUCCUCUCCGCUGUGGAAGAUGCAGAGAACCAGUUUGUGACCCCCGGGCAUUCCUCAUCCAACUUCGUCCCAGUUCCUCCCAGUGAGCCCCAUCCCAGUGAACCCCAUCCCAGUAACCCCCAUCCCAUUAAAGCCCCCACCCUCUGGCCCCUCGCCGGGCAGGGGGAGCAUCCCGUGGGGUUCCAAGGACCCCCAUCGCGGGGGGCAGCCCCCCAGGAUGAGCUGGACAAUGACCUUUUCCUGGCUGCCUGCAGGGAGCUGGAGGGUCCCGAGGUGCCCGUGGGGGCUGGCGCUGCCCCGGUGCCCCCCGGGCGCCGCGAGAAGCCGCCAUGGAAGUGCCCAGGGAAGGAGAACGCUGUGGAAUGUGGAGUCCCCAAAAAGCUCAGGGUGGGAGAGGAGCUGGCCCCUGGCUCCGGGGGGCUGCAGGACAGGCAGGGCCCCCUCCCCAGUCCCAAACUGGUGCUGCGGCCCAGCGCGGCCGGUGCCUGCGCCCCCAGACCCCCCCAUUCCACGGGAGAGCCAGGAAGCUCCGGAGGCUCCAUUCCUGCUCCGGGGACUCCGUGCCUGAGGCCCAUCCGAGCACCCCUAGCAAGGAGCAGCUCCUCGGUGCCCUGGACCCCCCCAGCACAGAGCUGCCCCCAGCCCCGGCUGCCCCCCAGACCCCCCUCGGGCCCCCCCAGCUUCCCGAACCCCCCGGUGGCACCCAACGCUCCCGGGCCCCCCAACGCCCCCGUGGUCACCAACCACCUGGUGCAGCUGGUGACAGCGGCCAGCAAAGCCCCAGGGACCCCCCCGAGCCCCCGGGCGCAGGGAGAGCCGGCGCUUCCCGGGGCCCGCCGGGAUCCUGCCCCAGCAGGUGGGUGGGCACAGGGUGGGGAGACCGGGCGGGGAUGGGGGGCGGUUGGGGGGGGAUGGGGACAGCGGGGGAGUGGGGUGAGGAUGGGAUGGGGAU
rnacentral:lncRNA from 14 species